rnacentral:pre_miRNA from 1 species
UACAAUUUUUGACUCUUCGUCUUAUUCAAAAAUUAUUUAUGAUUGAUAUUUUAUUUUUAUUAGAUAAUAAAUCAUAAAUAGUAUUUUAAGUGUGACUAAUUUUUUUUAAUUUUCUAAAAAAAUUUUAAAUAAGACAGAUGGUUAAACGUUGGAUACGGAAACU